ACGAACGCUGGCGGCGUGCUUAACACAUGCAAGUCGAGCGGAAAGGCCCUUUCGGGGGUACUCGAGCGGCGAACGGGUGAGUAACACGUGAGUAAUCUGCCCUGUGCUUCGGGAUAGCCACCGGAAACGGUGAUUAAUACCGGAUAUGACACUCUUGCGCAUGUGGGGGUGUGGAAAGUUUUUUCGGCGCAGGAUGUGCUCGCGGCCUAUCAGCUUGUUGGUGGGGUAAUGGCCUACCAAGGCUUCGACGGGUAGCCGGCCUGAGAGGGUGACCGGCCACACUGGGACUGAGACACGGCGGGGACUCCUACGGGAGGCAGCAGUGGGGAAUAUUGGACAAUGGGCGGAAGCCUGAUCCAGCAACGCCGCGUGAGGGAUGACGGCCUUCGGGUUGCAAACCUCUUUCAGCGGGGACGAAGCGAAAGUGACGGUACCCGCAGAAGAAGCACCGGCCAACUACGUGCCAGCAGCCGCGGUAAUACGUAGGGUGCGAGCGUUGUCCGGAAUUAUUGGGCGUAAAGGGCUCGUAGCGGUUUGUCGCGUCGGGAGUGAAAACCAGGUGCUUAACACCUGGCUUGCUUUCGAUACGGGCAGACUAGAGGUAUGCAGGGGAGAACGGAAUUCCUGGUGUAGCGGUGAAAUGCGCAGAUAUCAGGAGGAACACCGGUGGCGAAGGCGGUUCUCUGGGCAUGACCUGACGCUGAGGAGCGAAAGUGUGGGGAGCGAACAGGAUUAGAUACCCUGGUAGUCCACACCGUAAACGUUGGGCGCUAGGUGUGGGAUCCAUUCCACGGGUUCCGUGCCGCAGCUAACGCAUUAAGCGCCCCGCCUGGGGAGUACGGCCGCAAGGCUAAAACUCAAAGGAAUUGACGGGGGCCCGCACAAGCGGCGGAGCAUGCGGAUUAAUUCGAUGCAACGCGAAGAACCUUACCAAGGCUUGACAUACACCAGAACACCGUAGAAAUACGGGACUCUUUGGACACUGGUGAACAGGUGGUGCAUGGUUGUCGUCAGCUCGUGUCGUGAGAUGUUGGGUUAAGUCCCGCAACGAGCGCAACCCUCGUUCUAUGUUGCCAGCACGUAAUGGUGGGAACUCAUGGGAUACUGCCGGGGUCAACUCGGAGGAAGGUGGGGAUGACGUCAAAUCAUCAUGCCCCUUAUGUCUUGGGCUUCACGCAUGCUACAAUGGCCGGUACAAAGGGCUGCAAUACCGUGAGGUGGAGCGAAUCCCAAAAAGCCGGUCCCAGUUCGGAUUGAGGUCUGCAACUCGACCUCAUGAAGUCGGAGUCGCUAGUAAUCGCAGAUCAGCAACGCUGCGGUGAAUACGUUCCCGGG
rnacentral:rRNA from 1 species